CACUCUCACUACUGUAAGUCACUCUGGAUAAGAGUGUCUGCUAAAUGACUAAAA
rfam:Salmo salar isolate Sally breed double haploid chromosome ssa20, whole genome shotgun sequence.